GGUUUUUUUGUUUCCAUUGUUCCUCUUCAUCACAUAAUCCCUCAUUCGCAUUCUGUUUGGAGAAAACCUAGCCGCAGACCAUGGAUUCUCAUCUUCAUCUUUAAGUAAACUGAAAGAAAGGGGAACUCGCCAAAUUUGAAGCCAUCGACUGUGGAAAACCACUCGAUGAAGCAACAUAGUUUUGGAGCGUUUUGGGCUUUUGUCAAACGUGUCAAGGCCGGUUAAGCCAGUCAGCACGUUAAUUGAGGAGUUGCUUGUGCUGAAAAUAUACAAAAUGGAGAUUGCUGAAG